UGAUAGCUGGCCUUGACUUCUGGGAUGUUCUGCAAUCAGCAUUGAGGUACUUCUGUUAGUGAAGACAUUCCUGGGAGUGAGGAGGUUCAUCACCAAGCUUUCAACAAGUUGGCUUCUUUCUCCUGUGAUGUUGCAAGGACCGAAGUUUAGAAGAUACAGGAACCUCCCAAAAAGGAUGAACAAGAACAAAAACGAG